AGGAAAAGGAGAACGAGGUGGAGAAAAGGGUCGAGACAUUAGACAGAAAUUCAAUAAUUGCAAGAAACCUUUGGGGAGGCCUGGAAGGAGGGUUGACAAUACCCCCACGUGAAGAGGCGGCCGUGCUUUCGGGAGCAGAAUUGUCCAUUGACUCAGGAAGGAAAGAGGCGUCAGGCGGAGAAGAGGCAGACACACCUCCGGAAGAAGAUAAAGCAGAACUCUCGGGGGGAGAAGAAGAUAAAGUAGAACUCUCGGGGGGAGAAGAAGCAGCCGCACUCCCGGGAAAAGAAGAAGUCGCACAAACACAAAGCCAACAGGAGCUAACAGUGGAAGAGCUGUUUCAACAGAUCCAAGAGAAAGAAAUUCAAAUAUUAUUGAGAGCAGGGUUUCCAGACACCAAUAGCAAUGGCCAAAGCCAAAGUAAUGCUAAAGAAAAG